rnacentral:rRNA from 1 species
CCUACGGGAGGCUGCAGUGGGGAAUAUUGGACAAUGGGCGAAAGCCUGAUCCAGCCAUGCCGCGUGUGUGAAGAAGGCCUUCGGGUUGUAAAGCACUUUCAGUGGGGAAGAAAGCCUUGGGGCUAAUACCCUCGAGGAAGGACAUCACCCACAGAAGAAGCACCGGCUAACUCCGUGCCAGCAGCCGCGGUAAUACGGAGGGUGCGAGCGUUAAUCGGAAUUACUGGGCGUAAAGCGCGCGUAGGCGGUCUGAUAAGCCGGUUGUGAAAGCCCCGGGCUCAACCUGGGAACGGCAUCCGGAACUGUCAGGCUAGAGUGCAGGAGAGGAAGGUAGAAUUCCCGGUGUAGCGGUGAAAUGCGUAGAGAUCGGGAGGAAUACCAGUGGCGAAGGCGGCCUUCUGGACUGACACUGACGCUGAGGUGCGAAAGCGUGGGUAGCAAACAGGAUUAGAUACCCCUGAUC